GGGUGAUUUGCUCAGCAAGGAGACUCACUGGGAUCAUUCGGGCAGGUCACUCCACCUGGACAAGCUGGCCGAUGAGGAGGGCUGUGGCCGGUGGUAGCAGCCGGGCAUUUCCAAUUGUCAUCUGCCCAGGUAACAUCCCACAAGCAGCAUGACCAGAAAGGACAAGCAAUUUCUCUUUUGGAAUUUCAACUCAAACAUCCCAGGGGAAGAGUUUUACUGGCCCUGAUUGGGUCAUCUGACCACCUACUUGGAUCUAUCACCAUGGCCAGAAAAAAAUGGAUGUUCUGAUUGGCCUUGCCCACUCUGUGACAUAGAGAUUGAAACUCACCAAAGAAUCAGAGAUGGCCACUGGAAGAACUUUUCUAAGUUGGGCAGAUGCCAUGAUAUGUGCCUUUUUCAUGAAUUCUGAUGCUGAUGUAAAGCACAGAAGUUGAGGUGAGGCAUUGGACUUUAACUCAUCAAGAUCAUUGGGCUUGUGUGACAUCAAAUAGUGAAUGCUGUGUCAUAAAUUCUUUUCAUUCAUUCAUUCAUUCAUUUAUUUAUUCAUUCAUAUCUUCAUGCAGUGUUUAUUAAGGCUCUGAUACAUAGAAGGCCCUGUCUGAGAUGCAGAAAUCCUUUUAAUUGUGGGGAACAUGGUAAGCCCUCAGAAACUACAACUGAAUCACUGUCAUAUUCUUUCUUGUGACUCAGAAAUUCCUUUUUUCUGGGCAAGAAAUUGUCCAGCUUGACUUCACCUUAGCCUCAUGACUCAGUCUAAUCUGUGCCAUCACCAGAAUAAUAAUUUUAUUAUUCUUAGAUUCCAUUAUUGGGAAAGAGAAAGAUUCUUGUCAAUAUGAGAAUUAAAAUAAAACCAUGUAUUAUUUACUGGCUCUUUAUCA
rnacentral:lncRNA from 12 species